rnacentral:lncRNA from 1 species
ACCCAGCCUUGCAUUCCAAAGCUGCGCACCGCCAGCCACUAUCAUGUCCACUCCCGGGGUCAAUGCGUCCGCCUCCUUGGGCCCCGACCGGCUGAACAGCCCAGUGACCAUCCCGGCGGUGAUGUUCAUCUUCGGGGUGGUGGGCAACCUGGUGGCCAUCGUGGUGCUGUGCAAGUCGCGCAAGGAGCAGAAGGAGACAACCUUCUACACGCUGGUAUGUGGGCUGGCUGUCACCGACCUGUUGGGCACUUUGUUGGUGAGCCCGGUAACCAUCGCCACGUACAUGAAGGGCCAGUGGCCCGGGGGCCAGCCGCUGUGCGAGUACAGCACCUUCAUUCUGCUCUUCUUCAGCCUGUCCGGCCUCAGCAUCAUCUGCGCCAUGA